rnacentral:tRNA from 1 species
GUUCCUCUCGGCGGGGGACGCCAGCGCCUGCUUGAAGGGAGCGGCGAUGGCCGGGUGGAGCUCGGCGAGGUUCGAACCCUCCAGGAAUC